ensembl:lncRNA
CAGAGCAGCACCACACCAGCCCUGCCGCUAGUGCAGCCCUCCUCCCUCCACAGCUAUAACCGCACCCCGCAGGCGGGGGCACCCCGGCCGCCCCCUGCCCUCCCCGGCCCCGCAGGAGAGCUCCAAGUUUCACAGACCCCAAAACCCCAAGACCCCAAAGACCCCAAGACCUCCGCCCGCCGCAGCCCCCCGGCCCUCCCGGCGGCCGCCUCGCCCCGGGGCCGGCCCCCUCCGCCGGCGCCUCCCCGCCGCGCUGACACCGGGCGAGGCGGGACGGGGACACCGGGCACCCCUCGCCCCUCUCCGGGCCCACCUGCUCGGCGGCCCGGUGCCGGUGCCGGUGCCGGUGCCGGUGUCGGUGGUGUCGGGGCCGGGGCGGCGCGGUGCGCUCCUCCCCGGGCAGAGGGCGCCAGCCCAUGGGGAAGCCAAAACGUUGCCCAACAGCACAGGGAAAGAUGCCAGUACCCUAUCCCACCACCAAAAGCCAUCCACCUGCUGAACCUCGUCUGCCCUUGUGGCAAGGGCCUGUGCUCGGAGCCUGCUACGUGCCCUCGUUUCUCACCCUCGCGUCCCAGAUUGUGUGCUCAAAAUAAAAAUACGUGAAAAAUUUUGGUUUGUUCUGGAUUUUUUCUUUCAGGCGGUUUCCAGAUGGAAAUGUUAUGGUCUCAUCCCAGAGAGGUCUUCCUUGUUUCUGCCAACGAGGGGGAGUUACUGCCAAGUGACCUCCCAGCCUGCUGGAGGAAUCAGGCACCCACGUUUUGGCAUGCAACAAAUGCUUCAGGAAGGAUGAUGCCACUGAAGAACUGAAAAAUUGUAGUGCAGCCUCUUGUUUCACCAGUAGCCUUCUGUUGGUGCUUUUGGGUGACAGAGAAGCAGGCUCAUUUCCUCUGGUUUUCUCUGGAGACCCUGCUUAGUUGUAGAAAGUUCAUAUCAGGUUUUUCAUUGUAUUGCUUGAUUAUAAAAAGAUCCAGGGAAAUCAACAUCAGUUGGAUACAGGUGAUGGCAUUAUCAGCCUCUGAGACUGGUGGAAAGUCACUGAUGGCCUGUGGCAUGUCUGAUCAUUAGGUUAGGGCCAUGAAAACCCAUGCUCUAGACCUCUCUUCCCAUGCUCUCCUUUCUGACCACAGGUGUGAGCUUGAUGUAUUAUUUAGAAAAUAUCCUUCUGAUGGCUUGUCCGGCUAAAUAACUUUCAGUCCCAAGUAUCUGCCCCAGUUGCCUCCACAGUAGUCAGGGAGCUCUAAACCCAUUUCUGCUGGCCACUAGUUUGAAUUUCAAAGCACAAAGCAAAAUCAAGAGUGCCACGGUCGUGCACUAGAAAAAUAAUGUAACCAUUUCCCUUUUAAAAAAAUACAUAUAAUGCCAAAUUUGGAAAUAGCCUUAUGCCAGUCUUCAGGAGCAUUAUGUUGUUCUCUAGCUAGGAGAUCAGUUUUCUGAGCUUUUGACACCAUCAUUAUUCAUGCAAUUUAAUCUCAGUUGAUAUUUGAUUUUAGAUUACUAAUGCUUUAAAGGACUUUGUUCACCUCUUGGCUUAGAUCACAAGGGGACUUCAGAGGAACAAGCUGCAAGAGAACAUGAAAAAAAAUGGUUUCUUUUUCCUGUUCCUACAACUUUGCUGUCCAGUUCCCAAAUCCUUUCACUUCCCACCUAGGUCCAAGUAGAAACAACAGAGUUUGUACCAUGCAACACUGACCAUUCCAAUCUGUGCAGCUGCACUCAGCUGGUACUGAGAUUAUGCACAGGUCUAGUCUGAAACAGUCAACUUUACUCCCAGGACAGUUCACAUGCAUUUAAUACAGUGAAGUACACAAUACUUGCCACUUGGUUAGUGGCAGCUAGUUUCAGAAACCUGUGGCAUAUUAGACUUUAUUAGAAGAGACCUGCAGGGUUGCAUGCCAAGGAAUUAUAAAAGUCUUCUCUUUCUGUUUCAUUUUGAGGUGAAAAGGGAAAAGGAAUAACUUCCUGGUGCUGUAUAUGAUCACAGGCACUUCUGGAGUGAACAGUGGUAGUAGAAAAGGCCAAAGUCUUCUAUCCAAGACGUUUUGCGAAGGCUAAUGCAGUGAAAUCCAGUUAAAACAAAUGGAAAAAUGCAUAUUACUCAAUAGAUGACUCCUCCUGUUUUUAAAUUGUUCAAUACUAAAUUAUAAUUAUUUUCAGCAAAUAUAUGUGUUUUUUUUUUUUUAAGAACAACUUUCUACACUAAGAAUAUAUCUUCCAAACUCCUUGAUAAUUCCAUGCAAGAAAAAGAGCAAUACCUGAAAUAAGUUGAACAGUUUAGGAUGACAUACAGAGAGUUCCAAGCAGAGGAAGAAGAACCGAAUCUUCUAUUCGGCAUGCUGUUUCUGAUUUUGAUUACAAAGAUUUGGGGUGCUUUGCUGGUAUGUCUCAACAUAAGUACUUGUGAAAGAAAGCACUCAAGAAAAUAUUUUCACAUUUUUUUCAUCUGCAAAAACAGAGAGUUCUGUUGGAUUUGUUAUUUGGAUAAUUUUCCAGAUUACUGGAUCUUUAAUUUGUUGAUAAGAUCCUAGCUAUUAAAAGCUUUAUAGUAUCUGUGAAGGCGAGAGUGCUGUUCAUACAGAUAUCCUCAAUCUUGCUUCAAACUUGACCACCAUAUAGACCAUCUGGUUGCUCUGUGGCUGCAAUUUAGGUCUACACAGGCCAAAAAACCUUCCGAGGACCCAAAACGAGCAGGCAGGUAGCUUGCCUAAGGUGAGUUUUGUGCUGCCUUGGAUCUGCUGCUAGCUGUAACCAGCCUCGGUGGCCUAAAACAAACUUAUUUCUCCAGCAAUACUUGAUCCUGAGAAGAUAGGCUCUUGAGAAGGUCUGAUGUUUCAGCUCUAGCUCAAUGUUUUACCACAUGGGCAAGGUUUUGGGGCUGUUUUUGUUGCUGGUUGGCUAUCAGAAACUGUAAAAUGAGUCUUGAUGCCUUCUGUGAAACCCUCAGUUAAACCUCACUUUAAAAUGUUGUAUUUCCACAUUUUCUUGUCCAUAAGCUUGUAUAUCAUCUAAAAGUCAACAGGGAAAUGUAUAUGAAGGACAUAUGGUAUGUAGUCAGAGCAAAUGCGGUUUCUACUGGUCUCAUCUUUUGUUGUGUCAUUUUAAUUGCUUUAAGGAGCUACUACAUAAAUUUGUUCUGCUUUAAUUAAUUUAAAUAUUUAACUAAAGUAGUUAAAAUGCAAAUGUAUCUGGAAGUUACUGUACAAUGUUUAGUAUUCCCUCAGCUUUGCUUAUGUGGAUUAGUGUUGUACUUCUUGAUCACAUCAAUGAUAUGUACCAAUGGUAAUAUCUUACCCUAAAUCUAGGAAAAAUGCAAUACAUUUGACACAUUAAAAUAUGCUUUAAGACAUAACAAAAAUACCGAUAGGUCAAGGCAUUUUUGCAUUAUCGAAAAAAUACUUUUGCAUUGAAAUGCAUGAAAACUGUAAGCUUUAAUUGCAGAAACAAAAGUGUUUCUUCUUUUUAGCCUGCCAUUUGAUUAUACUUCAAAAUAGCUUCCAACACUUGAAAGUUGUUUUUCAGUAACAGAUUAAACCAUUGUGUUUGAAGACUUUGUUAGCUCUGGUUCCAUGAUUAGAAGAGACACUGCCUUGCAUUAACAGAGAUAUUCACCUGUAUUUGUCUCCAAGUGUUGAUCCUUUUCUUGUUAUCUGUACAAACUCUGUACUUUCCAUUCCAUAGACAGUUAAUAAUAGCUCAAAACCAUAUUUUUGCUCUAAUACAUUUUUAAUAAGGAAUUCCUAAAUGUGACUGGGUUAUUUGCUACAGAACAAUGGAACCAUGUUUACAAAGGCAGUUUAGACUGCAAUACUGAGAAAGUCUGUAGGCAAACAAUUAGCAGAGAUGAUUUCCCUAGAGGGGAAUAUUAGUGUUUACUUUUUUUCUGUGUUUUUAAUCUAAAUCCUAAACCCUUACUCCUGAUCUUGUUGAACAAGCUGUUUGCUGAGUUCAUUGGUAAUGUUGUCUAAGUAUAUUCAGGCUCAUAGUAAAUAAUUAGUACUUACUGUCAGUUCCUUCCAUUAAUUGUAUUUCUUUUCCUUAUUUCUGUUUGUGCUGUGGGGUGUCUUAAAAAGUAUCUCUUAGCAAUAAAGCUCUGCAUUUUCUUCA